UGUAAAAAAAGGACAUAAGAUCUUCUGUAAGCAGAGAAAAUGAAUUAGUAAUUUGUUCAUGCCCAUACAAAUCUAAAUCCAAAGCAACAUGAGUUUGAAUUAUCUCUUGUUGGAAAAAUUCCAUAUAUUUUUGGGCUUGAGUUACUGACCAUUUUAUUCCUCUCACUUGUUCUGCAGUAUUUAUUCCCAUAUUUAUGGGGUGUCUAGGCUUGAUAGACUGCCAGUCUAGGGAAAGCUUGGCACUCAAGGGGAGAUGGUCGCUCAUUUGGACGUUUUCUAUUUUAAAAUAAGAAAAAAUUGGGAAUAGAUCUCUGGAAACAAUAAAAUAAUCGAGAACACUAUUUGUAAGUGUGCUCAAAUGAGUAAACUCACCCGGAAUAUCCGGGGGACAAUUUCCGUUUAAAAUUAUCAAAUUCAAACGUAAAAUCAGUUGAUAAAGAAGGGUUCCCGCUUCGUUAACCCUAUUAUCUUUCGAUUUUCUCUGUAUAUGGGGGGAGAAAUCCAAGUUCUGGUGAUCAGGUAUGACCCACCAUUUGGCCUUGCCUAGCGCUUCCCAGUUUGCAGCUGUACGAGCAUUAAAAUCACCUCCCAUGACUGCUGAAAUAUUUGGGAACUUAGUGUAACAGAAAGCUAGGUGUUCUUCAAGUGUUUCCCAUUUGGAAUGGAGGUCCACUACCUGCCCCCCAGGGGGGAAAUAGACAUUUGUUACCAGUAAUUCAAAUUUCCCUCCUGAAAUCAGUCCUGUAAUCGCGUAAGGAGAGGAAGAUUUAACAAGUGUAAGUUUUGCUUGCAAUUUGAGGGAAAUGGCUAUUACCAAACCUCCCCUAGGGCGUCCACCUUUAAGAGAGGGGCUAGCUGGGAGCAAAAUGGUAUCGUAUCCAUUUAUGUCAAUCGCCUCCUCUUCCCAAGUUUCUUGUAGGAGAAUUACUUGAAAUAAAUUAACAAAUUUUAAGAAGUCUGGAUCAGAUUUCUUCCCCCUCCAUCCCGCAAUAUUCCAGCAUAAAAAUGACAUCGAGGAGUGGUUGGGUUGGUCGUUAGGUAGUCAGAUCAUGUGGGAAUGGGAUUCUAACUUUGGGGGAGCUUCAGCUUCAAAAAAAUCAGUAAUUUUCCUUUGAGAAGGUGGCAAUCGUGCUAUACAUCCCAACUGUUUGAAUUUAUUUGGGUGGUUUGGCUGUAAAGUCGUGCCACUCGUCUCGCUAAAGGCAGAUGUUUGGCCUAAGAUAGUCGACUUUUCAGAGCCAGAUGGUAGAAUUAUGGGGGUAUUACUUAGAGAGAGCCAAAUUAAGUCAGCAGGUAUCGUGCCACUAGUUGAGUGAUCAUUAGUUGUUUGGAUAAUUUUGUUAAUACGACCUGUCGGGUCUUCAACCAGAUCAUUCUUCGGGACUAAAAAUAAAAUGGAGUCGUCUCUCAUUUGUUGGUCUGGUUCAGCUGGUUCUGUUACCGGUUCGAUGGUAUCUAUGGAUUUAUUCAACUUGCACACAUUAGAAGAAAGUGGGUUAAUAAAAUUACAAGUAAGUGGACCCAUAUGGGACACUUUACAUGGAGAACCUAAUUCAGAUUCGUUAAGUUCCCUCAUUUUGUGUCCCAAGCAGAUGUUGUAGUCAUAUUUGCCUUAGAGAAGGGGUGCAUAAUAGAUGGGUCUGGUGAUGGGGUUUCCGCCUCCAGAGUAUGGAAGAGUGGAUUCAUCUCCGCAACAACCAGUUGGCUGGUAGGGGUGGGUGCCUUCCCAACCCACAGGUCCAGUUCUUGGUGGUAUAAGCGUGGGACAGAAUCUGAACCACAGUCUCUAUCAAGCAUAUUUUGUUUAGGUAAUCUCAGCUGUUCCUCCGUCACUUUUGUCAGGCAGAAAUAAAGGGAAUCAAUUUUAUGGAGUAUUUCUUUCUGGACUUCUUGUGGGAGAACACUAUAAGAAUGGAGUAAGUUAUUAUCAAAGCUAUCGAGGUCGAUUCCCUUAUUCUCCGCAUACCUGGGCCCAAGGAAGUCCAACCUCUGAGAGUCCUUGGUAACCAGACCAGUAGGAUGUUUGGAGAUGUCCUCCGCAGAGUUUAUAUCAAUUAGAACAUGUUGAUCAAUCUCAUGUUGAGUUUUUGGCAAAUUUACAAUAUGGGGGAUAAGUGGAAUUGGAGGUGCUUCAUUCUUAAAGUACCUUGAGAUUCUUAUACCACUCGUCUCCAGGUGUUCUCUACGUUUGUACACUAGUUUUGCCAAUCUCCCCUCGUAGAAUGAAACCACCGCUCUGGCAAGGAAUCCGGUGAAGUAUAGAUAUUCCACUUGGGCCAAAUCAGUAGGGUUAUUAAGUAUACCCAGCAUAUAGAUCUUUAAAAGGUUCAAUAGAUGGGCUUUACGCUCUUCUUGUGACAGGAGUCCUGGGGGUUUAGGAUAAUUUGAUAAAACGAGUUUGUUUCAGUACAGCACCAGAUUCCAGUUUUUAUUUGUUAGAUUUGUCUGAUUUCUCUUCUUAGAAGGAUUGGUUUCAUCUACAGAUAGAAUGUAAGACCAUGGAUCUUGGAUCAAAGUGUCUUGCUUGGAGUUAGGUGUUGGGGUAAGUGUUAAGAGUUCCAAGCAAUCCAUCGCAGCGUCAGGGCAAGGGUUUAUAGAGCGUUCUUGCUUAGAAUAUUUCCUGGUUAGAAGUUUCUCAGUGUUCCCACUGUUCUCGGUUAUUGGGAUACUCUUGAGAAGAUUAAAAAGCUUUUUAAAAACCAUUUUUUUGUAACGCAUUGCCUUAAAAUUUUUAACAUUUCUGCUCUUUUUUACCCUUAUGCGCCUCUUUUUCAAGGCAGUAGCCCUACAAGAUCUCUUGGCAUUCCUUGGUGGUCUGUUUUUGCAGGUGGUAGGAAGGAAGUUGUUAUUACUUUCCAAUUCUACAGUCACCCCGCUGGAUUCCCUACAGAGAGUUUUGCAAGUAUCCAUCAUUAUAGUGAGGAUUUUUGUACAGGUGGCCAGAUGGGAUUUUAUAUUUUCGAUAUCCUCAGUUAGAAGCACAAGCCGUUUGAUAACUGAUAAAUCCUCAUCCUCAUUUGUCUCAAGUUGGAAGCAGGAGUCUCUUGAUGUUUUAGGGUUUCCCCGAAGACAUCUCUGCAAUUUGUUUUAACAUUAGUUCUUCCACUUCUCGGACUCGGGAUGGUUCAGGAGAAGCUUGGGAUUUAAGUCUCUGUUUUGGGAGUAGUUCGGUGACUGUACCAAUUGUGUUUGGAUUUACUUUGGGCUUUAUUGGCCCUUUGUUGUGGCAUUCUUCUACACAAUCCUCUCUCUGCACAGCCGAUCCUUCAGUGCAGGAGGGAGACGUUUCAGUUUCCUGCUGAAUCUCACUCGGCUUGACUUCACCCCUAUUCUUAAAGGGUCGAGUGCUUUUUGUUUGAGCUCCCUUUAGGGUAGCUCUUUUAGAGAGAGGUCUUAGAUCACUCCGAUAAAAGCCUGGUGUUCUACAGCCACUCCUGGUCGUCACCAUUAUUAAUCUCGCGAAGGUCAAGUUGGUAAAAAUCUCACCUCGGUUCAUUAGCUCCGUCGGAUGUUGCAGGAGGGUUCUCUGCGGGACUACUUCCAAGGUAGGCAGGUAAUUGAGACCAAUUCACUGAGCUCCUUUGCCCUGGUGGUGGAGGCCGCGGCGGGGUCAACCUUUCGGGCUGUGUCACCCUCCUAGCCCAGUGGGAAGGCAUCCAAAUAACAAGGAGGUAAAACCAUGAGAUGAUAAAAUAGGGC